CCUACGGGUGGCAGCAGUGAGGAAUAUUGGUCAAUGGUCGGGAGACUGAACCAGCCAAGCCGCGUGAGGGAUGAAGGUACAGAGUAUCGUAAACCUCUUUUGUCAGGGAACAAAGGCGGGGACGUGUCCCCGGAUGAGUGUACCUGAAGAAAAAGCAUCGGCUAACUCCGUGCCAGCAGCCGCGGUAAUACGGAGGAUGCGAGCGUUGUCCGGAUUUAUUGGGUUUAAAGGGUGCGCAGGCGGUCUGUUAAGUCAGCGGUCAAAGCCCGGGGCUCAACCCCGGCCCGUCGUUGAAACUGGCAGUCUCGAGUUGGAGAGGCAGACGGAAUUCCUAGUGUAGCGGUGAAAUGCGUAGAUAUUAGGAGGAACACCAGUGGCGAAGGCGGUCUGCUGGACAGCAACUGACGCUGAGGCGCGAAAGCGUGGGGAGCAAACAGGAUUAGAUACCCCAGUAGUC
rnacentral:rRNA from 1 species